UUGAGCGCGGCUACCAUGCAGUCGACGAUGAAGGGAGCUUGCUCCUGGAUUAGUGGCGAACGGGUGAGUAACACGUGAGUAACCUGCCCUUAACUCUGGGAUAAGCCUGGGAAACUGGGUCUAAUACCGGAUAUGACUCCUCAUCGCAUGGUGGGGGGUGGAAAGCUUUUUGUGGUUUUGGAUGGACUCGCGGCCUAUCAGCUUGUUGGUGAGGUAAUGGCUCACCAAGGCGACGACGGGUAGCCGGCCUGAGAGGGUGACCGGCCACACUGGGACUGAGACACGGCCCAGACUCCUACGGGAGGCAGCAGUGGGGAAUAUUGCACAAUGGGCGAAAGCCUGAUGCAGCGACGCCGCGUGAGGGAUGACGGCCUUCGGGUUGUAAACCUCUUUCAGUAGGGAAGAAGCGAAAGUGACGGUACCUGCAGAAGAAGCGCCGGCUAACUACGUGCCAGCAGCCGCGGUAAUACGUAGGGCGCAAGCGUUAUCCGGAAUUAUUGGGCGUAAAGAGCUCGUAGGCGGUUUGUCGCGUCUGCUGUGAAAGACCGGGGCUCAACUCCGGUUCUGCAGUGGGUACGGGCAGACUAGAGUGAUGUAGGGGAGACUGGAAUUCCUGGUGUAGCGGUGAAAUGCGCAGAUAUCAGGAGGAACACCGAUGGCGAAGGCAGGUCUCUGGGCAUUAACUGACGCUGAGGAGCGAAAGCAUGGGGAGCGAACAGGAUUAGAUACCCUGGUAGUCCAUGCCGUANACGUUGGGCACUAGGUGUGGGGGACAUUCCACGUUUUCCGCGCCGUAGCUAACGCAUUAAGUGCCCCGCCUGGGGAGUACGGCCGCAAGGCUAAAACUCAA
rnacentral:rRNA from 1 species